GGUUCAUUCAAAUUUCUUCCCUAUCAACUUUCGAUGUUUGGGUAUUGGCCAAACAUGGUUGCAACGGGUAACGGAGGGUAGGGCUCGACCCCGGAGAAGGAGCCUGAGAAACGGCUACUACAUCCAAGGAAGGCAGCAGGCGCGCAAAUUACCCAAUCCCGACCGGGGAGGUAGUGACAAUAAAUACUGAUACAGGGCUCUUUUGGGUCUUGUAAUUGGAAUGAGUACAAUUUAAAUCCCUUAACGAGGAACAAUUGGAGGGCAAGUCUGGUGCCAGCAGCCGCGGUAAUUCCAGCUCCAAUAGCGUAUAUUAAAGUGUGUGGUUAAAAAGCUCGUAGUUG
rnacentral:rRNA from 1 species